AACAAUUCUACUGUUUCCAAUAUCGAUAGUAGUCAUUUUAAAAGUGACACUUAACAUUUGGCUGUACAAUUCAGCAUCGCCAAAUGAAAAGAAAGAACAAGUAUUGGAACUUAUGGUUCCAGGAGUUGACAUUCCUUACAAUGAGAUGGGAUACUACGUGCU